rnacentral:rRNA from 1 species
CUCUACCGCCAUGCCACCCUGAAUGAGCCCAAUCUCAUCUGAUGUUGGAAGCUAAGCAAGGGUUGGGUCUGGUUAGUACUUGGAUGGGAGAUCAAAUGGACUCAUGUUAAAGUAAACU